UGGCUCACCAAGGCGACGAUCCCUAGCUGGUCUGAGAGGAUGAUCAGCCACACUGGAACUGAGACACGGUCCAGACUCCUACGGGAGGCAGCAGUGGGGAAUAUUGCACAAUGGGCGCAAGCCUGAUGCAGCCAUCCGCGUGUAUGAAGAAGGCCUUCGGGUUGUAAAGUACUUUCAGUCGUGAGGAAGGUAGUGUAGUUAAUAGCUGCAUUGCUUGACGUUAGCGACAGAAGAAGCACCGGCUAACUCCGUG
rnacentral:rRNA from 1 species